AGGNNNGGCNUNGGAUGACGCUGGCGGCGUGCCUAACACAUGCAAGUCGAGCGAUCUCUUCGGAGAGAGCGGCGGACGGGUGAGUAACGCGUGGGUAACCUGCCCUGUACACACGGAUAACAUACCGAAAGGUAUACUAAUACGGGAUAAAAUACGAAAGUCGCAUGGCUUUUGUAUCAAAGCUCCGGCGGUACAGGAUGGACCCGCGUCUGAUUAGCUAGUUGGUAAGGUAAUGGCUUACCAAGGCAACGAUCAGUAGCCGACCUGAGAGGGUGAUCGGCCACACUGGAACUGAGACACGGUCCAGACUCCUACCGGAGGCAGCAGUGGGGAAUAUUGCACAAUUGGCGAAAGCCUGAUGCAGCAACGCCGCGUGAGCGAUGAAGGCCUUCGGGUCGUAAAGCUCUGUCCUCAAGGAAGAUAAUGACGGUACUUGAGGAGGAAGCCCCGGCUAACUACGUGCCAGCAGCCGCGGUAAUACGUAGGGGGCUAGCGUUAUCCGGAAUUACUGGGCGUAAAGGGUGCGUAGGUGGGUUUUUAAGUCAGAAGUGAAAGGCUACGGCUCAACCGUAGUAAGCUUUUGAAACUAGAGAACUUGAGUGCAGGAGAGGAGAGUAGAAUUCCUAGUGUAGCGGUGAAAUGCGUAGAUAUUAGGAGGAAUAACAGUAGCGAAAGCGGCUCUCUGGACUGUAACUGACACUGAAGCACGAAAGCGUGGGGAGCAAACAAGAUUAUAUACCCCUGGUAGUCCACCCCCCCAAACGAUGAGUACUACGUGUCCGGGGGUUACCCCCCCUCCGUGCCGCAGCCUACGCAUUAGUACUCCGCCCGGGAAGUACACUCGCAGAGUGAAACUUAAAGGAAUUGACGGGGACCCGCACACGUAGCGGAGCAUGUGGGUUUUAUAUUCAAGCAACAUCAAGAACCUUACCUUAUCUUGACAUCCAA
rnacentral:rRNA from 1 species